UGUGCACUGGUGGGGUCCCUCGGCCUGGUCUGCGGACAUUCCCUGAGGGGUCCCGGAUUGCAAGAGGGUGCAGGCCAGGCUGAAGGACCCCACCAGUGCACG
rnacentral:pre_miRNA from 1 species